rnacentral:rRNA from 1 species
CCUACGGGGGGCUGCAGUGGGGAAUAUUGCACAAUGGGCGCAAGCCUGAUGCGGCCAUGCCGCGUGUGUGAAGAAGGCCUUCGGGUUGUAAAGCACUUUCAGCGGGGAGGAAGGCGGUGAGGUUAAUAACCUCAUCGAUUGACGUUACCCGCAGAAGAAGCACCGGCUAACUCCGUGCCAGCAGCCGCGGUAAUACGGAGGGUGCAAGCGUUAAUCGGAAUUACUGGGCGUAAAGCGCACGCAGGCGGUCUGUCAAGUCGGAUGUGAAAUCCCCGGGCUCAACCGGGGAACUGCAUUCGAAACUGGCAGGCUAGAGUCUUGUAGAGGGGGGUAGAAUUCCAGGUGUAGCGGUGAAAUGCGUAGAGAUCUGGAGGAAUACCGGUGGCGAAGGCGGCCCCCUGGACAAAGACUGACGCUCAGGUGCGAAAGCGUGGGGAGCAAACAGGAUUAGAUACCCCGGUAGUC